CCCCGCACAGCCCGGGCCGGCCGAGGACGUGUGCACGCCCAGAUCCGCUCGGUGAAGCAGCACAGAUCCGCGGGGCCGAGCGGGUAUGUGCGUGAGGAGGAGGAGGUGGUGGUGUAAAAGGAGCUGCGAGCACAAACCAGAUUUGCGGGGAGUAAUUUAACUCCGGUGUUUGUUGUUUUUCGGGGGUUUGGUCUUUUCCUUCUCUUUCUAUCUCUUUUUUUCUGCUCAGGAUUUAAAUGUCACUCAAAGCAUCCCCAAAUCAGCUUUCUGCUCGUCUCCUGUUUCUUCCGAGGCAUUAAUUGGAUCACACGCUGCAUUUGAAGAGCUUGGGUGUUUUACCCACGAAGGAAAUUUGCUCCAUCUCCAGCAGCAACCACUGCUCCUUUUGAUGUUGUGGUACGCCGUGCGCAUGCGCUUCACAUUAGAAUUACUGCACUGGCCAGAAUAAGUUGGAUCUCUUCUUCUCUUCACUGAAACCCUAAAUCAUAUCAAAAGCUAAAGGGAUGCUGAGAGUCCGGAAAAAGGGUUACUUCGGGAUUUGGUCAUUCCCUUUAAUAAUAGCCGUGGUGUGUGCACAGAGUGUCAAUGACCCUAGUAAUAUGUCACUGGUAAAAGAGACCGUGGAUAGACUGCUUAAGGGCUAUGACAUUCGCUUGAGGCCAGAUUUUGGAGG